GACGAACGCUGGCGGCGUGCUUAACACAUGCAAGUCGAGCGGUAAGGCCCUUCGGGGUACACGAGCGGCGAACGGGUGAGUAACACGUGGGUGACCUGCCUCUAGCUCUGGGAUAAGCCUGGGAAACUGGGUCUAAUACCGGAUAUGACUCCACGGCGCAUGUUGUGGGGUGGAAAGCCUUGUGUGGCUAGAGAUGGGCCCGCGGCCUAUCAGCUUGUUGGUGGGGUGAUGGCCUACCAAGGCGACGACGGGUAGCCGGCCUGAGAGGGCGACCGGGCCACACUGGGACUGAGACACGGCCCAGACUCCUACGGGAGGCAGCAGUGGGGAAUCUUGCGCAAUGGGCGAAAGCCUGACGCAGCGACGCCGCGUGAGGGAUGACGGCCU
rnacentral:rRNA from 1 species